AUCGCUUCUCAGCCUUUUGGCUAAGAUCAAGUGUAAAAUUUGUUUUGCUCAUAUUUUGUUGAGAUUUGUGCAUCAAUAUUCAAAAAGAAUGUUGGUCUUCAAUUAUCUUUU
rnacentral:snRNA from 1 species